GAAAGUAAGCAAGGGCGCAUGGCGGAUGCCUUGGCUCUCGGAGGCGAUGAAGGACGUGAUAAGCUGCGAUAAGCUUCGGGCAGGUGCAAAUAACCUUUGAUCCGAAGAUUUCCGAAUGGGACAACCCGUCAUUCUGAAGGAAUGACAUCUUGCAUAGCAAGAGGCUAACGCAGGGAACUGAAACAUCUUAGUACCUGUAGGAAAAGAAAAUAAUAAUGAUUCCCCUAGUAGUGGCGAGCGAACGGGGAUUAGCCCAAACCAAUGUUGUUACGGCAAUAUUGGGGUUGUAGGACCACGAUGUCGCAAGAAAUUUAGUGAGAAGAACCCUUUGGAAAAUGGGACCAUAGACGGUGAUAGUCCGGUAUUCGAAGCUAAAUGAAGCGUAGUGGUAUCCUGAGUAGCGCGGGACACGAGGAAUCUUGCGUGAAUCUGCCGGGACCAUCCGGUAAGGCUAAAUACUCCCGAGAGACCGAUAGCGAACCAGUACUGUGAAGGAAAGGUGAAAAGCACUUCGAACAGAAGAGUGAAAUAGUCCCUGAAACCAUGCGCCUACAAGCGGUCGGAGCAGUGUAAACUGUGACGGCGUGCCUUUUGCAUAAUGAACCUACGAGUUACUUUUUCCGGCAAGGUUAAGGAUCUUGAGAUCUGCAGCCGAAGCGAAAGCGAGUCUUAAUAGGGCGGAUAGUCGGAAGGAGUAGACGCGAAACCAAGUGAUCUACCCUUGGCCAGGUUGAAGGACAGGUAACACUGUCUGGAGGACCGAACCGAUAAGCGUUGAAAAGCUUCCGGAUGAGCUGAGGGUGGGGGUGAAAGGCUAAUCAAACUUGGAGAUAGCUCGUACUCCCCGAAAUGCAUUUAGGUGCAGCCUUGAUUUAUACUAAUAUGAGGUAGAGCGACUGAUAAGAUGCGAGGGCUUCGCCGCCUAUCAAGUCUUGACAAACUCCGAAUGCGUAUUAGUUCUAUAUCAGGAGUGAGGGCAUGGGUGCUAAGGUCCAUGUCCUAAAGGAGAACAAUCCGGACCAUCAGCUAAGGUCCCGAAAUAAUUGCUAAGUUGAUCUAACGAAGUCAGAUUGCUAAGACAGCUAGGAUGUUGGCUUGGAAGCAGCCAUUCAUUUAAAGAGUGCGUAACAGCUCACUAGUCGAGGAGUUUGGCGUGGAUAAUAAUCGGGCAUAAGCAAUUUACCGAAGCUAUGGGAUGUGCAAACAUCGGUAGGGGAGCAUUCUACUCAGCGUCGAAGGUGAAGCGUAAGCUUUGCUGGAGCGUGUAGAAAAGCAAAUGUAGGUAUAAGUAACGAUAAAGGGGGUGAGAAACCCCCUCGCCGAAAGACUAAGGUUUCCUGAUCAACGCUAAUCGGAUCAGGGUUAGUCGGGUCCUAAGGCUCAGCCGAACGGUGAGGCCGAUGGCAGAACAGGUUAAUAUUCCUGUACUACCUUAAAGAGUGACGUGGAGACGGAGGCGUGACAGUGCCGCGAACUGACGGAAUAGUUCGUUGAAGGGUGUAGAUGUUGAUCGGGGUAGGCAAAUCCGCUCCGAGAGUCGAACCUGAUAGUAUGGAGCGUUCUUCGGAACAAUCCAAUAGUGCAUGUAAACAUACUCCCAAGAAAAUCCGCUAAACUUAAUCUUUAAGGUACCCGUACCGUAAACGGACACACGUAGUCGGGUUGAAUAUACUAAGGCGCUUGAGUGAUUCACGGUUAAGGAACUAGGCAAAUUGACCCUGUAACUUCGGGAUAAAGGGUCCCCACUGCGAGGUGGGGCGCAGAGAAUCGGUCCAGGCAACUGUUUAACAAAAACACAGGGCUAUGCCAAAUUGAAAGAUGAAGUAUAUAGCCUGACACCUGCCCGGUGCUGGAAGGUUAAGAGGAGAUGUCAUCGCAAGAGAAGCAUUGAAUUGAAGCCCCAGUAAACGGCGGCCGUAACUAUAACGGUCCUAAGGUAGCGAAAUUCCUUGUCGGGUAAGUUCCGACCUGCACGAAUGGUGUAAUGAUCUGGACGCUGUCUCAACCGUGAGCU
rnacentral:rRNA from 1 species